AUGAUCCUCAUUAUACUGGGGAGAGUCCAAAAAUUCUCAGACAAAUGUAAUAAAAAAGUUUAUUUAUCAAAAUAACAAAAUCAUUUUUCCACAUAAGCUCCAUUAGAGUCUAAACACUUUUGUAAUCUAUGUUUCCCUCGGUAGAUUCCGUCUUUGUAGAAUUGCUGGCUCUGUCUUUGACACAGUUUUUGCCUUUGACAUUUGUUUGAG